rnacentral:rRNA from 1 species
AUUGAACGCUGGCGGCAUGCCUUACACAUGCAAGUCGAACGGUAACAGGGAGCUUGCUCCGCUGACGAGUGGCGAACGGGUGAGUAAUGUAUCGGAACGUACCAUUCAGUGGGGGAUAACGUAGCGAAAGUUACGCUAAUACCGCAUAUUCUGUGAGCAGGAAAGCAGGGGAUCGCAAGACCUUGCGCUGAUUGAGCGGCCGAUAUCAGAUUAGCUAGUUGGUGAGGUAAAGGCUCACCAAGGCGACGAUCUGUAGCGGGGUCUGAGAGGAUGAUCCGCCACACUGGAACUGAGACACGGUCCAGACUCCUACGGGAGGCAGCAGUGGGGAAUUUUGGACAAUGGGGGCAACCCUGAUCCAGCCAUGCCGCGUGAGUGAAGAAGGCCUUCGGGUUGUAAAGCUCUUUCGGCCGGGAAAAAAUCGCAUCAGUUAAUACCUGGUGUGGAUGAUGGUACCGGAAUAAGAAGCACCGGCUAACUACGUG